rnacentral:tRNA from 1 species
GCCGGUUUAGCUCAUCAGGUAGAGCAGUCGCUUGUAAUCGGCAGGUGGCGGGUUCGAGUCCUGCAACCGGCACCA